rnacentral:rRNA from 1 species
AUUUCCCGGCCGCGGUCUCUUGACCGUGCAAAGGUAGCAUAAUCAUUAGUCUUUUAAUAGAAGGCUGGAAUGAAUGGUCCAACGAAAAACUGACUGUCUCAAUUUAUUUCUUUUAAAAAUUAAUUUUUUAGUUAAAAAGCUAAAAUAAUAUUGGAAGACGAGAAGACCCUAUAGAUCUUUAUAAAUUUUAAUUUAUUUUAUAAAUAUAAAAUUAUUUAAUUUGAAAUUUAUUUUGUUGGGGUGACAAAAAUAUAUGAAAAACUUUUUUAUUUAAAUAGCAUUAAUUUAUGUAUAUAAGAUCCAUUUUUAUUGAUUAUUAGAUUAAGUUACCUUAGGGAUAACAGCGUAAUUUCCUUCCAAAGUUCAUAUUUACAAGGGAGUUUGCGACCUCGAUGUUGGAUUAAGAUAAUAGUUAGGUGCAGUUAUUUAACUUAUAGGUCUGUUCGACCUUUAAAUUCUUACAUGAUCUGAG